GGAGGGUUGACAGAACCCGGCAUUGUGUCCGCUUGCUAAGCGGCAGCCAACCGAAAGGUUGUGCAGGUUCAAAUCCUGCAUCCUCCGCCA
rnacentral:tRNA from 1 species